CCCUUAGAUGUUCUGGGCUGCACACGUGCUACACUGGCAGGUUCAGCGAGCUUCAUGCCCUGAUCUGAAAGGAAUGGGAAAUCUUUUCAAAACCUGCCGUGCUUGGGAUAGAUGUUUGCAAUUAUUCAUCUUCAACGAGGAUUGCCUUGUAAGCGCACGUCAUCAGCGUGCAUUGAAUACGACCCUUUAUUCUGUACACACCGCCCGUCGCUCCUACCGAUUGAAGUUUUCGGUGAGUUGACAGGAGGAUUUUUUUGAAACUGGUUCGCCAGUGGAUUUUAGAUCCAAAUGCCAACGAAUCGAUGGCUUUAGAGGAAGGAGAAGUCGUAACA
rnacentral:rRNA from 1 species